GUCGAACGGCAGCACAGAGGAGCUUGCUCCUUGGGUGGCGAGUGGCGGACGGGUGAGGAAUACAUCGGAAUCUACUCUGUCGUGGGGGAUAACGUAGGGAAACUUACGCUAAUACCGCAUACGACCUACGGGUGAAAGCAGGGGAUCUUCGGACCUUGCGCGAUUGAAUGAGCCGAUGUCGGAUUAGCUAGUUGGCGGGGUAAAGGCCCACCAAGGCGACGAUCCGUAGCUGGUCUGAGAGGAUGAUCAGCCACACUGGAACUGAGACACGGUCCAGACUCCUACGGGAGGCAGCAGUGGGGAAUAUUGGACAAUGGGCGCAAGCCUGAUCCAGCCAUACCGCGUGGGUGAAGAAGGCCUUCGGGUUGUAAAGCCCUUUUGUUGGGAAAGAAAUCCAACUGGUUAAUACCCGGUUGGGAUGACGGUACCCAAAGAAUAAGCACCGGCUAACUUCGUGCCAGCAGCCGCGGUAAUACGAAGGGUGCAAGCGUUACUCGGAAUUACUGGGCGUAAAGCGUGCGUAGGUGGUUAUUUAAGUCCGUUGUGAAAGCCCUGGGCUCAACCUGGGAACUGCAGUGGAUACUGGAUGACUAGAAUGUGGUAGAGGGUAGCGGAAUUCCUGGUGUAGCAGUGAAAUGCGUAGAGAUCAGGAGGAACAUCCAUGGCGAAG
rnacentral:rRNA from 1 species